GAUGAAGAACGUAGCGAAAUGCGAAAAGUAAUGUGAAUUGCAGAAUUCAGUGAAUCAUCGAAUCUUUGAACGCUCAUUGCGCCGGCCAGUACUCUGGCGGGCAUGCCUGUCUGAGCGUCAUUUCAACCCUCACGCCCCUAGGGCGUGGUGUUGGGGAUCGGCCAGCGCCCUCGCGGGCGAGGCCGUCCCCUAAAUCUAGUGGCGGACCCGUCGUGGCCUCCCCUGCGAAGUAGUGAUAUUCCGCAUAGGAGAGCGACGAGCCCCUGCCGUUAAACCCCCAACUUUCUCAGGUUGACCUCAGAUCAGGUAGGAAUACCCGCUGAACUUAAGCAUAUCAAUAAGCGGAGGA
rnacentral:misc_RNA from 1 species